ACGCUAGCGGCAGGCCUAACACAUGCAAGUCGAGGGGUAACAGGAAGUGCUUGCACUUCGCUGACGACCGGCGCACGGGUGAGUACCGCGUAUACAAUCUGCCUCAUACUAGGGGAUAGCCCGAAGAAAUUUGGAUUAAUACCCUAUAGUAUCUUUUUAAGGCAUCUUAUUAAGAUUAAAGGUUACGGUAUGAGAUGAGUAUGCGUUCUAUUAGCUAGUAGGUGUGGUAACGGCACACCUAGGCUACGAUAGAUAGGGGCCCUGAGAGGGGGAUCCCCCACACUGGUACUGAGACACGGACCAGACUCCUACGGGAGGCAGCAGUGAGGAAUAUUGGACAAUGGGCGAAAGCCUGAUCCAGCCAUGCCGCGUGCAGGAUGACUGCCCUAUGGGUUGUAAACUGCUUUUAUAUAGGAAGAAAAACUUUCUCGUGAGAAAGCUUGACGGUACUAUAAGAAUAAGGAUCGGCUAACUCCGUGCCAGCAGCCGCGGUAAUACGGAGGAUCCAAGCGUUAUCCGGAAUCAUUGGGUUUAAAGGGUCCGUAGGUGGACAAAUAAGUCAGAGGUGAAAUCCUGCAGCUCAACUGUAGAACUGCCUUUGAUACUGUUUGUCUUGAGUUAUUAUGAAGUGGUUAGAAUGUGUAGUGUAGCGGUGAAAUGCAUAGAUAUUACACAGAAUACCGAUUGCGAAGGCAGAUCACUAAUAAUUAACUGACACUGAGGGACGAAAGCGUGGGUAGCGAACAGGAUUAGAUACCCUGGUAGUCCACGCCGUAAACGAUGGUCACUAGCUGUUUGGACUUCGGUCUGAGUGGCUAAGCGAAAGUGAUAAGUGACCCACCUGGGGAGUACGUCG
rnacentral:rRNA from 1 species